GGAAUUUUGGGCAAUGGGCGAAAGCCUGACCCAGCAACGCCGCGUGAAGGAUGAAGUAUUUCGGUAUGUAAACUUCGUAAGAAUGGGAAGAAUCAAUGACGGUACCAUUUGUAAGGUCCGGCUAACUACGUGCCAGCAGCCGCGGUAAUACGUAGGGACCAAGCGUUGUUCGGAUUUCAUGGGCGUAAAGGGCGCGUAGGCGGCAUUGUUAGUCACUUGUGAAAUCUCCGGGCUUAACUCGGAACGGCCAAGUGAUACUGCAGUGCUAGAGUGCGGAAGGGGCAAUCGGAAUUCUUGGUGUAGCGGUGAAACGCGUAGAUAUCAAGAGGAACACCUGAGGUGAAGACGGGUUGCUGGGCCGACACUGACGCUGAGGCGCGAAAGCCAGGGGAGCAAA
rnacentral:rRNA from 1 species